AUUGAACGCUGGCGGCAUGCUUUACACAUGCAAGUCGAACGGUAACAGGCCUUCGGGUGCUGACGAGUGGCGAACGGGUGAGUAAUGCAUCGGGACGUACCCAGAGGUGGGGGAUAACGCAGCGAAAGCUGUGCUAAUACCGCAUGUGAUCUGAGGAUGAAAGCGGGGGACCGAGCAGCAAUGUUUGGCCUCGCGCCUUUGGAGCGGCCGAUGUCGGAUUAGCUAGUUGGUGGGGUAAAGGCCUACCAAGGCGACGAUCCGUAGCUGGUCUGAGAGGACGACCAGCCACACUGGGACUGAGACACGGCCCAGACUCCUACGGGAGGCAGCAGUGGGGAAUUUUGGACAAUGGGCGCAAGCCUGAUCCAGCAAUGCCGCGUGCGGGAAGAAGGCCCUCGGGUUGUAAACCGCUUUUGGCAGGAACGAAACGGUGUCCGCUAAUACCGGGCGCUAAUGACGGUACCUGCAGAAUAAGCACCGGCUAACUACGUG
rnacentral:rRNA from 1 species